rnacentral:rRNA from 1 species
UAGGGAAUUUUCGUCAAUGGGCGCAAGCCUGAACGAGUAAUGCCGCGUGAACGAGGAAGGUCUUCGGAUCGUAAAGUUCUGUUGAAGGGGAAAAAGAGCGGAGAGAGGAAAUGGUCUCCGAUUGAUAUUACCCUUCGAGGAAGUCACGGCUAACUACGUGCC